rnacentral:tRNA from 1 species
GCGGGAGUAGUUCAAUGGUAGAACCUUAGCCUUCCAAGCUAAUGACGCGGGUUCGAGUCCCGCUUCCCGCUCCA